UGCGCGACUGGGCGGGGGACGCCGACGGGCUUUCGGGGGGCGCCUUCGGCUGUGGCUGGGGACGAUCGUCGGCGGCUCGGCCCGUCUCGCGCGGC
rnacentral:tRNA from 1 species